rnacentral:rRNA from 1 species
CACGUAGGGGGCGAGCGUUGUCCGGAUUCAUUGGGCGUAAAGCGCGCGCAGGCGGCUUGGAAAGUCGGGUGUGAAAACUCGGGGCUCAACCCCGGGCGUGCAUCCGAUACUGCCAGGCUUGAGGCAGGUAGGGGAGAUCGGAAUUCCUGGUGUAGCGGUGAAAUGCGCAGAUAUCAGGAGGAACACCUAUUGCGAAGGCAGCUCGCUGGGACGUAACUGACGCUGAGACGCGAAAGCGUGGGGAGCAAACAGG